CAUGUCUUUUUGAUUAUAAUUUAAAGUCUAACCUGCCCUAUGAUUUAUUAUUAAAUGGCCGCGAUAUUUUGAUCGUGCAAAGGUAGCAUAAUAAUUAGUUUUUUAAUUGAGAACUGGUAUGAAUGGUUGAACGAGAAAAAAACUGUCUCAAUUUAAUUUUAAUUAAAAUUUUAUUUUUAAGUUAAAAAGCUUAAAUAUUUUUAAAAGACGAGAAGACCCUAUAGAGUUUUAUAUAAAUUUAUUAUUUUAAAAAGAAUUAGAAUUUAAAGUUUAAUUAUAAUAGUUUAUAUUUAGUUGGGGUGACUAAAAAAUUUAAUAAACUUUUUUUAAAUUUAAACAUAGAUUUAUGAAUAAAUGAUCCAUAUAUUAUGAUUAUAAGAUUAAAUUACCUUAGGGAUAACAGCGUAAUUUUUUUUGAGAGUUCUUAUCGAAAAAAAAGUUUGCGACC
rnacentral:rRNA from 1 species